GGGGAAAACACAACAUUUAAAGACGUCCGUAUUGAAGAUAGAAAGUUCAUGAGAUAUUCGAAAGAUGAAUCGCCAAUCUUCCAUUCUUUCCCCACUUCCUUGGCAAAGAGAAACAGAACUCUGACGGAAGUGAAGAACUGUCAAGGUCUGACACAAAAAGAAUAUAUGCAGACUGCCCUUCAAGCAAGCAAACAAUAAAUUCCAAUCAUCCUAAGAGAUAAAAACAAGAAAAAAGAUGAGCAUCUCAUAUGAGUGACAGAGCAAAGCAGGAAGGGAGAUAGCCAUGGGAAAUGAUGGCAGAGACAAACUUCGCAGACUGAGCACGGGCUUUCAGAGUAUCCUUUUUGGACUUUGCCUCCUGUAUUUUGCUCUCCAAAAGCUACACAAAAAUGGAUUUCAUGGAAUGCAACUGUGACAAAAUCAGUAUCUCUAUAUGAAUAUACUCCUUGAGGAAAUAAUAUAAAAAGCAAAAAAGUACGGCCAACUUUCUCUUUAAAUAUCCAGAGGCCUAUACAUAACAAUAGCUUAAGUAAUUUUAAACAAUCAUUUUAACCUACUCAUUUGCUAGCAUAUAUUAAUUUAAGGGUACAAAAAGCUGACAUUUAUCUAGAAUCACCCAUGCUAUGAGUGCAUACAGCUAUUACGGAGUUGAUAUACAACUAGCUGGUGGCUAAAGUGCAGUACAAAUAACUACAAGCACAUCUUUUUCAUUACUCUUUUGAAAAACUGCUUGUGCUACCUAUGAAAGAAAGCAAUGAUUGAUCACAAGUAACACUGAACGGAGAAAUCGAGUUUAUUUCAUUACAUAUUGCACUGCUUUUGAUAAAAGGGCUCUAAAUGACCUUGUUCUCCAAUUUUUUUCUUUUCAAACCCACCUCCUUUUGAACUGUUGUUUCAAAGUUAGAAUAGAGAUACAAUUUUGUCAAAGGAGUCUUCCCAUCCCAAUGAUUACCAGAGGUCAUUUCUCACCUAAGACAAUUGGUGACUGAGUUACAAGUAUACUGCCGAAAUCUGCCUUCACUGCUCAUUUAGGGUUAAGUAACCUUGACAAGAUGAGAACUUGACAUACCCUGGUAUUUGAGACCAAAUUAUCAACCACAGUCUUCUGUUGAUCAUACUGUGCUUUUAAAGCACUGGCAUUGUCCUGAAAAAGAAAAUAUUGUGUUGAAAAAGAAAUUCGGCACCAUCUAUCAUAUUACUAAUACGUCGAAGAAAAGUACCGUUUCUAGAUCUAGCCAUAAGUAAAUAAAUAUCAUCUCAAGUUGCAUCAUAUGACUAUUCAGGACCAAAAAAUAAAAAUAAGAGGGACUAUGCAUGUUUUCAAUGAAAACUAAUGAUGGCAAUAAAUAUGAAAUUAUUGAGACUAAAAGAAAAAGGAUGUAUCCAUACACAUCUCAUGGUAAUGAAUUCAGUUAUAAAAGUAAAAGGUAAGAUUGCAAUAAGGUAAAUGUUUGACCAUGUUGAGAAACCUAACCGUUGAACUCUAUCAAUAUCUGUAGCUAUCAAACAAAAUUAACAAGAAAUAUUUGAAGAAAAAUUAGACUGGUUUGAAUGAAUUGUGAUGUGUACAUAGGACAGACCUUUUACGUAAUAGACAGAAAAUUAGAACUUCACCUAAUAUGUAGCAAAAGAAGGACUUCAUGAGAGUCAAAUCUGAAGCACUUUAGAAGAAAAUAAAAAAGAAUUAAUUAUGUGCAUUCAUUGUUCUUUUCUUG